AACGAACGCUGGCGGCAGGCCUAACACAUGCAAGUCGAGCGAGGACUUCGGUCCUAGCGGCGGACGGGUGAGUAACGCGUGGGAACGUUCCCUUUGCUUCGGAAUAGCCCUUGGAAACUGGGAGUAAUACCGGAUGAGCCCUUUGGGGGAAAGAUUUAUCGGCGAAGGAUCGGCCCGCGUUGGAUUAGGUAGUUGGUGGGGUAAUGGCCUACCAAGCCGACGAUCAAUAGCUGGUUUGAGAGGAUGAUCAGCCACACUGGGACUGAGACACGGCCCAGAAUCAUACGGGAGGCAGCAGUGGGGAAUCUUAGACAAUGGGGGAAAGCCUGAUCUAGCCAUGCCGUGUGAGCGAUGAAGGCCUUAGGGUUGUAAAGCUCUUUCAGCUGGGAAGAUAAUGAAGGUACCAGCAGAAGAAGCCCCGGCUAACUCCGUG
rnacentral:rRNA from 1 species